rnacentral:rRNA from 1 species
AACGCGAAGAACCUUACCCAGGUUUGACAUGCACAGGACUGUCCGCGAAAGCGGUCUUCCCUUCGGGGUCUGUGCACAGAUGCUGCAUGGCUGUCGUCAGCUCGUGCCGUGAGGUGUUCGGUUAAGUCCGGCAACGAGCGCAACCCGUACCGUUAGUUACCAUCAGGUAAUGCUGGGGACUCUAGCGGGACUGCCCGUGUCAAGCGGGAGGAAGGCGCGGAUGACGUCAAGUCCGUAUGGCUCUUACGCCUGGGGCUGCAAACGUGCUACAAUGGCCGGUACAAUGGGAUGCUAGUCUGCAAAGGCAUGCGAAUCUUCAAAACCGGCCCCAGUUCGGAUCGUAGUCUGCAACUCGACUACGUGAAGUCGGAAUCGCUAGUAAAGGGACAUCAGCAACGGUCCCUUGAAUACGUUCCCGGGCCUUGUACACACCG